rnacentral:rRNA from 1 species
GACGAACGCUGGCGGCGUGCUUAACACAUGCAAGUCGAACGGAAAGGCCCUGCUUUUGUGGGGUGCUCGAGUGGCGAACGGGUGAGUAACACGUGAGUAACCUGCCCUUGACUGUGGGAUAACUUCAGGAAACUGGGGCUAAUACCGGAUAGGAGCUCCUGCUGCAUGGGGGGGGUUGGAAAGUUUCGGCGGUUGGGGCUGGACUCGCGGCUUAUCAGCUGGUUGGUGGGGUAGGGGUUUACCAAGGCUUUGACGGGUAGCCGGCCUUGGAGGGUGGCCGGGCACCUUGGGCCUGCGGUACGGCCCAGUCUCCUACGGGCGGCAGCGGUGGGGAAUAUUGCGCAACGGGCGGAAGCCUGAUGCAGCAACGCCGCGUGCGUGAUGCCGGCUUUCGGGUUGUAAACCGCUUUCGCCUGUGCCGAAGCGUGAGUGACGGUAAUGGGUAAAGAAGCACCGGCUAACUACGUG